rnacentral:lncRNA from 1 species
UUUCUUCUUGUUGGGUUAGUGAUAUCAAAUUCACUUAUUAGCCUAAUUGGUUUUAUUUUGGGUUUGGUUCAACAACUCAUGUAAUGGGCUAGUUAGUAUUUGGUUUGGGCUUUAGUUGACCCAUUUGGUAUGUUGGGUCAAGUGGAGUUAAGAGAGAACUCUUUGGGUUAGAGAGAGUGUGUUCUCAUUUUUGCUCUCUAGGUUUUCCCUUUUCUUGUAAUAGAGAAGAGAGGUGUAGAGAGGGUUGGAGAAGGAGCUCUCUUGUUCUUCUUGCUUAAUUCAAAGACUUCCAAGGUAGAUUGGAGGAAUUCUAAGAGGUAUUCCGAAGCGGGAUUCGUGGAAUCGGAAGGUGCUUCAAAGAAGGUGUAGCAAGAAGGAAUUUCCAUUGGAAGGUUGUAAGCCCAUUGUGAUAGAGUAGUAAUCUCUAAUCAAAUCUUGUAAUCUCCUCAUUUGAUAGUGGAUUUGAUCUCUCCGUGUCCGUGGAUGUAGCCCGGUUUGGGUGAACCACGUAAAUCUUAUGUUGUUGUUGUGCUUGUGCUUCGAUUUUUCUCUUUCAACUUCAUUUACUCAAAUCUUGCAUAUCUUGGUUGUGGAUAAUUUAGAUACAUCACAUUUGCUUAUUAGUGUGAUUAGUAUCUUGAUAGUGAGGGUUCCGUCAUUAGCUCACUACACUUCUGGCAAUAAAACCAUCCCCAAUCCUACAAUCAACUUAUUUUAA